rnacentral:lncRNA from 10 species
UUAUAAUGACAUAAGUAAUUAUUAAAGUUUACUCUCUAAUUAUGACUGCUAUAUUGAUAGAAAUUAUAUUUUAAAAAUACUUUAGUUAUACUUAAGACAUAUUUGAAUUUAAAUUGUCCCUAAAUCAACAAAAGGAUGAUUUUACCUUUUGCAAUUCUGUCUGCAUCACAUUUAUUCGCGUAUACUACUUUUACAUUACGAAAAUUUAUAUCCAGAUACUCAAAUUGGGUAUUUCAUGGGAAAGACUAUGAUACUGGAAAUCAGAACUUUUGGGGUUUAAUUACACAUUUUCAAUCUCUGUGUGAAGUGGGCAUAUUCUUUAGCCUCUCCAUACUACAAUUUUCUAGUUUGUAAAAAUAAAGAACCUGAAGUAACUGAUUUGUUGGAUCACUUUCUGGUGUACAUUUUUCCAAAAUUUAGGAAAGUAAUUUGGUAAGUGUAAUAUAUUUUGUAUGGAAUUUUAAACAAGUUUUUAUGGUUUAAUCAGCAUUAACCUGGUUUUAUGACUACCUGUGUUCAUGUAAGAAAAAUUUUGCAAGAAAAGCUAGCUAAGGAAACAUUCCUUAAUUUAAAAUUAAAAUAUAGGGAGGAAACAAUAAAACAUUAAUGAAUAACCUAAGAAAUGGACUGCAUAGAAAUAAAGAGUGCUCUCUAGUUAUGUCUCUGGAAUUUAUUAGGAAAGGAUGCAAAUAUGACCAAUGGAAAGCAAGUUCUACUGUAUUUCAUUCAAUUUUUAAUAUCUAUGUAUGUAUUUCAGGAUACCAUGGAUUUCAAAAUUAAAAUGUAAUUUACAUGUUAAUCAUAAUUUGAAGAUAUUUUAGGAGGAUAAACCAUGAACCUCUGCAUUAAUGUCUUAGGAGUGAAAUAAAUUUUUCCCUGUUUAUGUCUCAGGGCUAAGUUUUCACACGUAGAACAUACCACGAGGGAUCUUUCUUCUUGAAGGAAUUACAGUUACCCUAUCCUCCACCAUUACAUAUCAGGUACAAAGUCACCGAAUCUAUUAGUUUAUCCAUCACUGUACCAAGAGGAACCAAAUCCUGACCUGAUGAAGAUGGGGGCUAGGAAUGACUCAGAUUUGAGGAUGUCAAGGCCUCCUCACCAGCCCUGAACUGCUUAAUUCUGGACAGUUAUGUUGAAGAUAAAUGGAUUUGUAUCUUACAUAAGUUAAUGUAUUCUGGAAUCUUUAUGUUGUACAGUCUAUGCUUAACUGAUACAGUCUCCAUAGUCUAAGCCAAGGAUUUGCAAAUUAUGGCCCCAAGGUUAAAUCUAGCCUGUCACCUGUUUUUGUACAGAAAGCUUUAUUAGAACACAGCCAUGCUCAUUCCUUUAUAUAUGUUACAGCACCUUUUGUGAUGCAUGUGCAGACUUUAGUACAGAUUUAACAAAGAUUAUUUGGCCUGCUAAAUCUAAAAUAUUUAUCUGACACUUGUAGAAAACAAUUGCUGACCCCUGAUCGAAACUCUAAAUGAUGUAAGUUGAUAGGGAAAAUAAUAUAAAUAAGAUGCUUUCCCUGCAUCGUGAUCUAUCUAUUUUCAAAGGGUUUCCUGCAGUAAAGUAAGGAAAGAGAGCAAGAAUAACUACAUUAUUGACCUUGGUUAGUUUAAUGUAUAUAUUUUGAUCUCUUUCCUACUUCUUUAUUACUAUCACAAUACUAAGUUUUGCCUUGGCCUUCUCCACAGCUCAGGAGAGAAAAUCAUCUGAGUCUCACACCAGCUUCAAACAGCCUUUAGCAUUUUAUGGAAGUGAACAAUUUUUGACAAAUCCUAAUAGGGGAGUUUUUCCAGAUAAAGGGAGAUAACCUCCCUUAUCUAGGACUCUGCCUCCUAUUACUUUUACAGUUCCUUUAGUAUUAAGUAUGACCUGAGAAAAUCUCCAAUUUUCCAGCAAUCGUGCUGGGAACCAUUGCUACACCUUGGUCUGAACCUAUUGAAACCCACUGUCUUUAAAGUUGUUUUACUUGAACUUUUAUGCAUCUGGCUACUGCCUCCAUUGAAAGUAGCCACAACUUUGUCAAAUACAAGCACACAUGACCUUGAAUCUUCAUAACCAACCUGAUUUCUCAUCAUACAUGACUUCGCUCCCAUUCAUUUUUAUAAUGGUGCCUGUUCUUCAGUUAUUUUUCACUUUAAGAAAAUCCUGCCAUCUGGCCACUUUUUAAAGUUGAUUUAACAGUUACAACACUAUGUUAACUUUAAUAAGAUAUUCACUUUAUCUUUUAAAAUCACUGUCACGUACCUAAUACUACUGCAAGGACAGUCAAGAGAGUAAACUCCUUGUAUAAGCAAAUUAAAAGCAUUAAAUUCUAACCCUCAUCAGCACUUGGGAAUAAUUGCUCCUCUACAUUACUAGGGGAAGGCUGAGUAUUGGGUUUUCAGCUUUAUAUGGUGGAUAAUCUAAUGAUAUUUCAUACUGGACUUUUCUAAAGAUAAUGAGUGCACUAUCUGAAAGUUCUUAGCAUUUAAUUCAAUCACUGAUAAACUUGAUGCUCUAUUGAAUUUUCCUUGAAAGCUUUUUUAAAUAUUUACCCUCAUGUCUUAAAAUAUACUUGAAUUAAUAUAUACUUAAUGUAUAUAUAAAGUAUACAACAUUUGCCUAUAUUAAUAUAUGUGUAUUUCUAUAUAUAAUCUUUUACUUUGUUUCUUAAAUAUACACUUAAGACUUAACAUAUGCUUAAUAAAUAAAAUGUAAUUAAAGACACACUUUAAACAUUAUUUGUGUAUGAUAUAUUGUAACAAAAAUAUUCUAGACUUGACUCCUUAAAAUGUAUUGUAUUACAUUACUGCAAGUUAUAUUUUAUUAGUAUAUCUUUAAUUUUUUUCUAGAAAGAUUUUAUGACCAGGAUAGAAGAAAAAAAGUGAAUACCUUAAAGAAGAAGACAGAAUGCAUCAUAACAUAAACUACUUAAAAAUAGCCCCAUUCCCAGUUGACGUUUGUCCUUCCAGACAUUACUCUCUAUGAAUUUUCAGUAUUUUAUAGUAGUCCAUGUAUGCAACUAUGUAUUCUGCUUUUUAAAUUUCCCUGUACAAUAUUUUAUAUAAACUAUGCCAUUUUUAAACUUAAACUUUAAUCCCAGUUUGAAAACUUUUUGUGUUAUAUAAAAUAUUGAGAUAAAU